rnacentral:lncRNA from 1 species
GCUACCCUUGUCUAAAAAAAGUUAUUAGUGUCACCUCCAUCUAUCAACACUUGAACUAUAUAUCCAUUCACAUGUCCAGUAAAGCAGAGAGUGGUAGGCCACCGACAAUAGCAUGAUACAAUAUGGAUGAAUUUUCCUGGACAUCUAAACAUUGCAAUUCCUUUGAUAAUAUAUCAUCAGAGACAAAUGGUUUUGGUAAAAAAGAAUCAAUUUCAGAUCCAUCAGUAAGUACCAAUAGCUGGGUUAUUUUUUUCAUUUUUGAGUAGAA